AUUGCGGUUCUAGGUGUCCUGUAGCUCAUCCAUAAUUAUAGUCACCGAUUCGCAUUUCAAAUCAACGUUCGACCAACUGUGACCACAUUUCAACGAAGUAUUUCUUUCUACGCUUUUGUUAUACAUUUAUACAUAGAUAUAUAUUAUUGUGAGUCAACUUCAUGAUGAAGAUGAACUGUUUCUGUGGAGGGAAAAACGCACAUUUGGUCGGAAAAUGUGAUGCUAUUGUGAAUCAAUUUAUUGAAUUCGUCGCCGAGUGAGAGAUCCGUGAAGGAGUGAGGGGUCCGUGAAACCGAAGAAGUCGUAACUUUUCGCGAUCAACCGAAUAAUUUAGUGGAAACAGGACAGAACGUAUAUAUUAUUUUCUCACUCUGAUGCAUGGCGAUUCUGUUGUAUUAUGAAAAGUAUAUUCUCGAAAAUUAUAUUAUAUCAAUAUGCUUUC